ACCACUCUUGCAGUAUCUCAAGGAGAAAGAAUGGCUGCUCCAGCAGGAUCCAAAGUUCAGAGGUCCUACAUAUAUGGGAAGUUGAAAUUGUCAUGCGAGAUGGCUGAUAUGAGCAUUGCACAUAGCUGCAUACCUUCAAUAUGGGAACCUCAUUCAGCCUGUAAUGAUCCAUAGGUGAUAACUGUUCAUUUGUUAGUUGUUAACAUGUAAUAUGUGUUAAUGUGUGUGCAUAUGUAACCAUUCUUCCAGAAGAAGAGCUCAAGAAACUCCGUAGAAAAAUUCUCAUCUGUAGGAUUAUAUAUAUGGGAACUUCAUUCAGCCUGUAAUGAUCCAUAGGUGAUAACUGUUCAUUUGUUAGUUGUUAACAUGUAAUGUGUGUUAAUGUGUGUGCAUAUGUAACCAUUCUUCCAGAAGAAAGAGCUCAAGAAACUCCGUAGAAAAAAUUCUGAUCUGUAGGAU
rnacentral:lncRNA from 1 species